AUCGUAAAAGCAGUUGAGUUCUUGAUUUGAUUCUCCACUUGAUCGCUGUUGGUGUACAGAAGAUCUACUAAUUUGCAUACAUUAAUUUUGUAUCUGGAAAAUUUGCUGAAUUCUUCUAUCAGUUCUAGGAGCGUUCUGGAGGAGUCUUUGGAUUUUGAGAAAGACAGUCUUCAAGCUCUGUAGUGCUGGGAUAACUGGCUAGCCAUAUGCAGAAGAUUAAAAGUGGGCCCCUACCUUACACCAUAUACAGAAAUCAACUCAAGAUAAAUUAAAAACUUAAAUAUAAAUCCCAAAACUAUAAAACCCCUUGAAGGAAACCUACAUUAAUAUCAUUCGGGACAUAGACAUAGACAAAAAUUUCAUGAUGAAAAUUGUAAAAGCAAUUGCAACAAAAGCAAAAAUGGACAAAUGAGAUUUAAUUAAACUAAAGAGUUCUGCACAGCAAAAGAAACUGUCAACAGAGUAAAUAGAUAAUGUAUAGAAUGGGAGAAAAUUUUUGCAAACUAUGCAUUCAACAGAGUUCUAAUACCCAGCAUCUAUAAGAAACUUAAACAUGCAAAUACAUGGGACAGAGUGAGAAAAAGAGUUUAUUAUGGAAUUUUCUGACAGUUUUAAAAAUAUUAUACAAAUAUCUAACAUAUAUGAAGAAAAUGAAAAUAACUACAAAUUAAUAAGCUAAAGGCAGCCAACCAAACAAAAAAAAAUGACAAAAGAUUUGUUUCAAUACUUUACAAAAAUUAUUUAGGAGUUUUUAGAAAGUCAGUUGAGAGAGUUUGAAAGGAGAGGAUGGAUGAAUAAAAACCUGCUUUUGGAUGAGGAGGAAAGGACGGAACCUCAAGAAACGGUGGAAGCAUUGUCCUUAGAUGAAAAGAAGAAGAGGAUUUGGGUUGUAAGAGGAAGAAGAAGAUCUGAGUUGUAAGAAAAAGGAAGGGAAGGGGAAGAUGGAGCUAUGAUUGAUUCUAAGAUUGAUAUGUUGGUGAUGAUCAGAAAGUUCUCUUUUAAGAGCUUCUCUUUUCAAAAAGGAUGCUGUCUUCUGAUGAAAACAGAAUCAGAAUGAGUGAAACAUGGAAGUUUGAAAAGAGUGAACAUCAACACUGGAAACUCAAGAGUGUGUUAAACAGAGAAAAUUAAUAGAAACCAGGAAACACUUAAGGUGUAUUUGAAGUUUGUUGUCUUGAAUUGAUGUAUUAAUUAACUCUGGAAUCAAUUUACUGUAUUUGGUGAACCCAGCUUUCAGUGGAGUUCUUCUUAAUUUUCGCCUACUGUUCUACUUGUUCCAAAUGUGUGUAUCAUGUAUUUUUUCUUUUAGAUUUUUCUACCUAAUUAGCUUUGAUUCUGUCAUCAGGAUUGAUUUUGGCUAAAAUAAAACACAUAUAUGUCUUUUAGUGGCUUACCAAUUAAUUUUCCUUAUACAAUAAAAGGUCUCAAGAUAGAGUUCUUUCAGUAGGGCGAAAAUAUCAAGGCUCUAGAGGGAGGUAUAUGCAAAUAUUUUGAUUUUUCUUUCAUGAUUAUAA
rnacentral:lncRNA from 10 species